GCUGUCUGCCUCCCCGGCUGAUUGGAUUCGUUACUGCUUUGCAACGCGCACCUAACUCCAGGCUGGAGUGCAGUGGCACAAUCUCAGCUUGCUGUGACCUCAGCUCUCUGCGACCUCUGCUUGCUGGACUCAAGCGAUCCUCCCACCACCUCAGCCUCCUGAGUAGCUGGAACCAUCAUAUGCACCAGCACGCCUGGCUAAAGUUUUGCUCUUGUCACCCAGGCUGGAAUGCAAUAGCGUGGUCUUGGCUCACUGCAACCUCCGCCUCCCGGGUUCAAGCAAUUCUCCUGCCUCAGCCUCCUAAGUAGCUGGGACUACAGCUUGAGGUCCUACCUGGUGUCCUCCAUGAGAAUCAUACAAGCCCCGCUACAGACAACAGAAUUGGAAGGUCCUGAGAGCUACCAGAAGCAUCUUCAGUUUUCAUAUGAAAAACUUAAGCCCAGGAGUGAUUUGUGCAGCCAAGGACACACAGCAAGUUAGUGGCUGCACCAGAAAUAGUACUCACUGCCUCAGACAGUCCCUCCCACAGUCUACUCUGUCUCCACCCCAAGGUCUGGUUCUGAAUCAUUCAGUUGUCAGUUGUCUCCUUUUUUUUUUUUUUUUUUGGAGACAGGGUCUCUCUCUGUGGCCCAGGCUGAAGUGCAGUGGUGUGAUUACAGCUCAUGUAGCCUGGACCUCCCAAGCUCAAGCAAUCCUCCUGCCUCUGCCUCCCAAGUAGCUGGGACCACAGGUGGGCAGCACCACACCUGGCUAA
rnacentral:lncRNA from 10 species